rnacentral:lncRNA from 1 species
AUGCUAGGUGGUGGGUGGCGCUGCGGUCAGCCGUACACAAGACUAUUUACCUGUAUGGAACUCAGAAAUACAGGGGAGUGCUGUAACUGUGCUGCGUCAUCCAUUCUAAUGUUGUUGGUUACCCGCCUCCCUGCCCCAUGGAAAACAGCUUCAAUAGGAGGAAUCCGUAGCCAGCACAUCAUGCCUUCUGAAUUCUGCAAAUGGUCUGAGAGCUUAGAAGAGGAAAAAAAAGAUGAUCCUGCUCAGCAGAAAUUAACCUACCACUUCAACACUACAGCUGGAUAUUGGCAGGUAGGUACAGAAAUGGUUAUUGAUCUCAAAAAAUUCUCAGAUUUCUCCUCAUGGAUGAGGAAAAGCAGAAGGGACAGUCUCUCCUGGUACAUUUGCAAAGCAGCUCUGUUUGUUGUUUUUGUUUUCUUUAGAACCAAGAUCUCUAUGCCACAAAAUAGCAUAGACUAUGGAAACCCAGGGAAAAUGGUCAUCUGUUACUAA